rnacentral:rRNA from 1 species
UACGUAGGAGGCGAGCGUUGUCCGGAAUCACUGGGUGUAAAGCGCGUGUAGGCGGCCUGCCAAGUCUGUCGUGAAAGCUCCUGGCUUAACCGGGAGUGGUCGGUGGAAACUGCUCGUCUGGAGGACGGUAGAGGUAGGUAGAAUUCCCGGUGUAGUGGUGAAAUGCGUAGAGAUCGGGAGGAAUACCUGUGGCGAAGGCGGCCUACUGGGCCGGACCUGACGCUGAGACGCGAAGGCGUGGGGAGCGAACGGG